UAGCAUAGGAAAACGUCAAUUGCCAUAGUCUAGGCCACCGCGGAUUGCUUCUGUAGAAAUACCUAAACGAAUUAAAGGUACUGUUGUUUAAUGUAAAUAGUCCAAUAGGACACCGGUAAUUAUUGCUGUGACCCUCACGGGCUGGUGACAUGAGAUCACUAGCCUAGCUUAGGCCAGACUUCAAGAGACAUUAGAGGGGGACUACCUACAAUAGAUAUUCUUGAAGGUGAGUGCGGAUUCUCAAGCUGCACCAGAAGGAAGUUGCAUAAGAUAGACAAGAUGAAUAUUGUAGUCACCUGUUUUUCUUACCGUAAGUCCUCUUUUGAUGACCCAGUAUUUGGCCACACACAUGUCCUUGACCUCGG